rnacentral:rRNA from 1 species
UACAGAGGUCUCGAGCGUUAGGCGGAAUCACUGGGCUUAAAGCGUGUGUAGGCGGAUCGGUAAGUGCCUUGUGAAAUCCCACAGCUUAACUGUGGAACUGCUUGGUAUACUGCCAGUCUUGAGCCAGCUAGGGGCUACCGGAACAAAUGGUGGAGCGGUGAAAUGCGUAGAUAUGACAUAGAACACCGAUAGCGAAGGCAGCUUACUACAUG